rnacentral:rRNA from 1 species
GACGACGCUGGCGGCGUGCCUAACACAUGCAAGUCGGACGGAUCAGGGAUGACAGCUUGCUGUAGUUCCUGGUUAGUGGCGGACGGGUGAGUAACGCGUGAGGACCUACCCUGGAGAGGGGGAUAACGGCUGGAAACGGCUGCUAAUACCCCGUAAGCCGGAGGGUGAAAGGGAGCGAUCUGCUCCGGGGCGGCCUUGCGUCCUAUCAGCUAGUUGGUGGGGUAAUGGCCUACCAAGGCGAAGACGGGUAGCCGGCCUGAGAGGGCGACCGGCCACACUGGAACUGAGACACGGUCCAGACUCCUACGGGAGGCAGCAGUCGAGAAUAGUCUACAAUGGUCGGAAGACUGAUAGUGCGACGCCGCGUGAACGAUGAAUCCCUUCGGGGUGUAAAGUUCUUUUAUAUGUGAGCAGUGCUUCUUAUAUUAACAGUAUGGGGAGAGAGAUAUUAGCAUAUGAAUAAGCAACGGCUAACUCCGUG